GGACUUUGGGGGAUUUCUAGUGUUGUGACAGUCUCAGCCGUGGUAGUGAGGAGUCACAGGGCAGCCUGCCUGGCAGGUGUUGGAGCAGCUGUUCCUGCCAGGGCAGUGGCCUGAGGCAGACUCUGGAUGGCAGAUGAAGGCCUCUGAGCCCUGGGCUAUGGGGAGUUCCUGAAGCUUCUCUCUGAUGCCUGAGAGAUGGCCUGCUGUCCUGCCAGAUGUGUGCUAUCUUGGAAGCUGUGCAAACCAAAUGGAGGAGUUACAGGUGGGAGUGAGCAAGCUGUGCAGCAUCAGAGAGGCCAAAAAAGGAGAUAGAUUAAUAUUUUUAUUUUUAAAAAAAGAGGAAAGAUUCUUCUCAGUAGUGUGAAGAACCCUAGAUUGCAAAUGCAGCAGAGAAGCAGGCAGUAUCCACCACUAAUAUUGAGAGGAAGGAAAUAGUGUUUGAGUCAUCUACUGAAGAUUUCUUCUGUAUACAGGCAUUCAUGGUGGUUUUACUCAGAGCUGCAAAGGGAGGUGUAACCCACCUGCACCGGAGGCAAUGCCCCUCAGGAGCUCCACUGAGGUCAGACUGAAUUUGGAUCCCAGCUCUGCUGCCCACCUUCAUCACUGCUGUCAGCACACCCUGCUGUCUCUGGAUUUCCUCUCCAUUUGUCAAGUAAUAUUAAUUGCAGUCAUAUUUUCUUUCCUGCUAUGAAGAUUAGAAGGGUAAAGCUAAGCCUAUCAGUGAGUGACUUGGCUGGCAAGCUGUAAAGAAAGCAUUUUGAUGGCUUUGUGGCAGUCUUCUUUAGCAAUGCAUGGUCAGGUAGGCAUGUCCCUGAUCUCCCAUGACCCUUCCCCAAGGGCAUAAUCUCAUUGGCUAAUCCAUGUUGCUGCUUCUUUACAUUUCACUUGCAGCAUUUUGCAGAGGAUCAAGGAUCCCUGUCAUCAAUGUCUGCACAGAGGAGCAGCACAGUUAUCUUCCUCGUUGUAACAAAUCACAUGUGAAAUAGAGUAAGGAGAAUAGACAGUGGUUGACUACAAGCAUUCUGUUACCCUCUAAAGGGUUUCCAUUUUAAAAAAAUCCCACCCAAGUGAUUUAAAGCAUUGCUUUCCCCCCACCCCCCAUCCCCUCCAGAAGUUUAUUCCCUGAUGCUGCUCUCAGAUUUCUACAAUACAUGUUUUUUGUCACUUUCCUUUUUAACCUCACUUGGGAUUUUCUUCUUUUGCAGUUAAGGGAUUCUCUGACCCCCUUAAAAUAGGCACAGUGGUGCGGUGCAGUUAUCUGAAUAACACUGCGCUGAAGCAGAAACACAGAUCUACAAAGACACUGCGCUCUGACUACCAGCUAAAAGCAAGAAUUUCCAUGCAUAGCUUGGAAUGUUGACACCCUGUUGGUUGGUUAGGUGGUAUCAUGAACUCCAGGAUAGCAUCUGGCUGAGUACAGAAGAAAACAUUACUGAUAAAAGUUUAGUAUUGAGCUAAAGUUUCUAGCAUUGGAGUUUCCACAGCCUCUCUGACUUCAGUUUGUUAGGAUCCAUUUUGUUUUUGAACGAUAGUGUUCAAUCUAAGCAAAUAUCUCCUGCAGAGGCCUUAAAAAUGCUCAACAGAAUGCAAGAAGUACUUGCAGGAUUACUUGUCAGUCUUGUUCACUUAUCUCCAAUUUGCAUGGUCCUGCAUUGCACAGCAGUCUGCCACAGGCUUGUGUUCAGCUUAUGGUCCACUACAAACCCCAGAAACUGUUCUCCAACACUUCCUAACUAUUUGGUCCCGAUUUGUACUCCUGAAAUUAAUUACUCUCAUCCAAGGGAAAUGUUUUUUACUUGUCUUGACAAAAUUUCAUAUUUUUUUUCUCUCUCUGUUCCUCCAGUUUCUCAACUUCAAAUUCUGCCUCUGGUAUAUUUGUGGGAAGGAAGUAAAACCAGUGAUAUACUGAAUAGGAUGACAUUAACACCACAUCCUUAGGAAACUGGUAAAAAUUUCAACAAGAGAAUUCAAGACUUGGCAUUUUGCGCUGACUGUCCUACACUGGCAGUAGGAGAGAAAAGCUGUGACUAAAAACUUCAUCUAAAAGUUGUGUCCUCCACCACAAUCAGUCAUAGCUGAGUCCUGCUUUUGUUCUUAGUUGCCCAUGCAGCUCAAAGCCCUCCCAAGAAUCCUGGAACAUGAGAGCUUGGUGGGCUACAUCCACAUAUGCUCCAGUAUCUGCUGUUAGCAUCAGGUUCUUCCCAAUGAUUUGAACUAUAAAGCCAGGUCUGCUGGAAGCUGAGUGUGCAAUUCUGCUUUGCUAGACUGGGGCCUUAAUCUUUAGAUGAGGUGUGCACACAGGAAUAUAAGUAAGAUGAACUGCAACCAGAUUUUCCUGCCUUCUAGUAAGAACAAACCAAGCAUUUCUUGUUUUCAUAUCUGUGCUGACAGGUCACACUAAUAUGUUACAAAACUCACUACUGGUGCUUGAACAGGAAUGCAUGCUUUUCAUAAAGGCACUCAUGGUAAAUUUGCACAAUAAGGAGGUUGUACCUUUUAGCCUUGCUUUUAGCAGAAACAUUGUGUCAUUUACAGAUACAACUGUAUCUUUGAUAGUGAUGCCAGUAUUUAGCAGCAGCUAUUUUUGCCUGUUUGUUUGGAAGCCUUUAAUGACUUAGUCCAGUUGAGCUCAUCUCAUAGCUUCCCCUAUCUGUAGGCCAUCUGUUAUCCACUCACUUUUUUUUCUUUCCCUGAUUGGUUUCGCACAAACACUUCAGUUCAUUUCAAUUAGGGUAAUUUGUAGAAGAUCUUACUAUAAUCUGCAGUUGUGUCAUGUGUACGUCCCUGUCCCACCCCACUCAUCCUUCCACAAUCAGAUGAAAAACAUUCCAUGAUGAAGAAUGUUGUUGAAUUUACCAGCCCUGGUGGACAAAGGCUCUAUGGGGAUUUUCUCCAAAGCUGGAGCAUUUCUGCAGGUAGCCUAUAAAACCUACAGAAGAGGAUAAUGAAAAAAAAUCUAAAACUAGAAAAAAUGAAUAGAAAAAAGCUAAAAAUUUUGACACUUUCUUUAAUCAUACUGUUGACAUUUUAUGUAUAUCUGUGCAUAUAAAUAUGUAUAUAUAAACACUGUUGACCUUUCAAAUUUAUACAUAAAUAAUAUAUUAUUUAUAAAUAUGUGCAUGUAAUAUAAAAAUAUCUGUCUCACUUCCUUGGGGAAUUUUUCUUUAAUUUAAAAAUUUUUGGCUUCCAAUUCAUACAGGUCAUGAGUGAGGCUGGAGAAGUAUAAAGGGAAUGAAGAGAUAUUAGAAAAUUCUUAGAAGCCUCUUGAAAUAUAUCUCGAGAUGAACCUGAAGGCCUCUUUUGUUUCUGGAAAUUGUGUUGUAGCGGGUUUUUUUUUUAAUAUGUAAUUUCAGACUCUGAGCAAGAGUUAGAGAAUAGUGGAAUGGGGAAUUGCUGCUAUGGGGAGGAUUUUGGAAGCAAUAGUUCAGAAGCAGAAGGGCAAUGUCAGGUUGGAGGAACCCCGUCUCGCUUCCCAUGUAAUUUUGUCAUAAUGAGAAUCCUGUGCAAUCCCCUGGGUUUCAAACAAUUCUCAUUUCAGAUUGAGAUAGGCAAACAUCAACGAAUAGUUGACAAGUUCUAAUAUCAUCUGUGUUUUUGCAACAGAGUUGCAAUAGGCCACACCAUUGGGAAGCAUAGGAGCAAUCUUAAUUUGAGAUGU